CUCGGGGACAGCCGGCACCGGUGUGUGCCGGCCGGGGCUGGAAACCGCACAACAGGUUUGACCAAGAGGCAGCUUCAGCGAGAGGCCCAUUUUACAAAAAAACAAGACACACGGCAAAAAAGGUAACUCCACCCAUCAGGUAGGCAGCCUGGGCAUUCCGCAAGAGCACAGCGUCACCUGAGGGAGCGGGUGACAUGGACACGGCAAAAACAAAUCCGGGCAGCUACGGUUCAAGUCAAGAUUCAGGACAACAUCGGAUUUAAACCCAAAACCACCUCUGACUGUUCUCACCAGGGAAUCUCAGAAAAUAUUCUUUCCAGACAAGGUGGUACAGAAACCCCCAUUUCGUAUAUAACUUACUUUUCCUUAAGUAAAACUCCCAAAAAAAUCAAGAGGAAGGAAGUAAGUUUGUGUCGACCUUUUCUAGUACAAGCAGUAAUAGCUAAAGGCUUCAAUAAACAUCUUUUUUUCCUACAUGCAUUCCUUAAAGAUGAGUGAAAUUGCUCACAUGGAAGCAUUUAGAGAGACAAACCAAGAUAAUAAAAAUGAAAAAUAAAAAGGGCUAGCAUUUUCCAAUUAAAUUUCUUUUGCCAAGACACUAAUCAAAAUAGCAAAGACAGCAUUACCUAACUGAAUCACAGCAUUAUACAACUUGGGUGGGGAAUGAACUUUGCAGCUGGGAAUUUUGUGAACAGGAUCCAGAACCUCCUUUCCAACACUUGCUUCUCUAAUAUGUAUGCUUUGUAACAGGCAAUUUCAUUAAGGAUUAAACUAAUUUGGAUAGGUGUGUUCACGCUUCUUAAAGCAUCCUGUUCAACUACCAACAGCUUUCAGUGACAGGCCUGGGAUUUUUCUCCUCCAUACAAUUUUCACAUAUUACAGUGGCCAAUCAUUGAAAUGCAACAACUGUGAUUGAACUAAAGAGAAGAAAUUGCCAUUUUUUAUUCUCUCCCUCAUCAAAAUUUUUAUUGGCACGGCAGAGGCCAAGGCUACACUCAUGAGAAACAGCUACAUUUAAAAUAGUCUAGAGCAGGUGAAUAGGAAUAUUUGAAUAUAAGAACAGCUGUGGUUGCUUAACCCCAGCCAGCAGCCAGGCCCCACACAGCCUCCCUUACUCCCUGGUCAGCAAGAUCAGGGAGGGAAUGAGAAAGGUAAAAGCCAAAAAACUUGUGAGUUGAGAUAAAGACAGUCUAAUAGGAAAAGCAAAAGCCAUGCAUGCAGGCAAAGAAAUAUAAGGAAUUAAUUCUCCAUUUCCUAUGGGCAGGCAGGUGUUCAGUCAUCUCCAGGAGGACAAAGUUCCAUCACAUAUAACAGUCACUUGGAAAGAUAAAUGCCAUUGCUCCAAAUGCCCCCCCUUGCUUUCAUAUACUGAGCACAAUGUCAUAUGGUCUGGAAUAACCCUUGGGGUCAGCUGUGUCCCUGCCCAAUUUAUUGUGCACCCCCAGUCUCCUCACUGGUGGGGUGAGAAGCAGAAAGGCCUUGGCUCUGUGCAAGCCCUGCUCAGCAAUAACAAAAAUAUCUCCAUUAUUAUCACCACUGUCUUCAGCACAAAUCUAUAACCAGCCACUGUGAAGAAGAUAAAUUACACCUCAGUCAAAACCUAUAGCGGUUUAGCACAGAUUAUAAAUUUAUACCCAGAUUAUCUUAAGCUUCACUGAUACAGACAUUUCUCAUUAAUAGGCAAAGCUAAACACAGGUUCUGAUGCAAAGUGUAGCCUGAUGUUCACUAUGCAGUAAGAUGGAGAAAUGAAGAUGUGUCCAGAGUAGCUCAGGUGGAAAGAAGGCCAGUGAUCUUUGUCCUCUGAGUCUGCUGGUAUUGCUUCUCUUGGGAGUUAAACUCCUCUCACCUGUAUCAGCCGAAAGGGGCCUCAUUAGGUCUGACACGAGAGUCCUAUUAACCAGAGUAACUUCGACUGAAACAGGUUUGGGGCCAUUCAGAGGAGCUGCUACUCCCAUCAGAUGAGGACACAGCAACUUCUACAAUGCACUAUUUCUUCUUCCAGCAGAAUUUGAGAAAAAACCCUCAUAUUUCUAUAACUUCAGUACUGUUAUUUUUUCAUGUAGGAAAGCCCUUUGAGUAUCAAUGCCUAGGCUGGAAGGGGUGGAUGAGGAAGCUUGUACUGCUACAACCAACUCAAUAUUCAUUCCAGACCAGCUUGUGCUCACUUUGAAGUCAAUUGCAAUCUUCCAUGGGUUUAACCAAGGUCUAGAUUUGGCUUACUUCUAUGAAUUCCUCUAUUUAUCCAGGCUCAGUGACUGGAAGUCUCACACCUUUGAUGCUGCAUUCAUAAACAGAAAUCUGGGCUAGCUAUGGCAGCAUAUGGAAUAUUCUUCUGACAAAGAAAUCAUUGUAUGGAAACCUCAGUACCUGCCAUUUUCAGACAGUCAGGGACUGAGAUAUUUGCUUAACGUAUUUUAUUUCUGGAAAUUUUUCCACAGGAAUGAUAACCUCUGAGCCCAUGCUUUUGGGGACCUCUGGCUGGAGUAAAACUCUUUCCUUGCAAAAUCUGCUAUGGGCAGCACAUGCACUUGUCAGCAUUCACUUAAAGAGCCAGGAAGCCUACCAGCAAGUUUUAAUAUCUUUUUAUUUCCCAGCCUCCUCUUGGUUUCUAGCAUUUAAGCCAGGACAGAACCCCAAAGCACCAUGUGCUGUGCAAUUGAACAGAGAUUCACUUUUACCCAUAUAAAAAACUGUCAUGUUGAGUUGGCAUUUCAAACCAAAUUCAUAUGGGCAGCGAUGCCACAGUUAGAAAUGAGGCCUGGAAUUCUUGGUGUUGGGAUGGGUGAGAGUUCACCUAUCAUCUCAAGCAUAGUCGUACUGCUUUCUGACAUUGUGCCUAUACUGACCCAGUACCAACUGAAACAGAGAAGCCUUUGUGGGAGAGCCCACAAAAAUCACAGCAGCAUUUCCUGCAAGCACUGCAUUUUCCUAGUGACCCUUCCAAGCUUACGAGCUCCAGACUUGUAGUUUUCCAAGUGGAUUUGUGCCAUUAUAACACACAGGCCAGAACUGAGUGGUGGAAACUAGUACAACAAAACAUCCAUAUUCCUGAUUUCACAGGUACCCACAGAUUUGCCAACAGAGGGAGUCCUCUUACUGUCUACCAAAGAUCUGUGGAAGCGACGGUGUCCCUGCUGAGCAGCUACCAUCGCUAAGAGCAAGGAUGGAAAAGAGUAGAUGCUGGACUUGUCCCAGGACAUGGAAGCAUUCCACCUAGAGCGAGAUCCAAAGCCUUCCUCUUGUUAGAAGAGGGUGGUUUAUUAGUUCUGGGAAUCUGUGACAACCAGCCAGUGGAAAAAGAGGGAGCUGGAGAUAUUCCAGGGCAAGGAGGAAAGCCAGAAGAACAGUGGAGCUGAUGCUCUGGUCUCAGACAGCAAAGAUGAACACAGACUAGCAGCUGAACUGCUAUGUCCUUUAUUCAAAAUACAUCAGCAACUAAGCAGAAACAAGCUAGACCCACAGAAAAAAGGUUCAACAAUAUCAUAUGUUCAAUAAUCUGUACCACUAGAAGUGGUAGCAAACAAACUGCAUAUUCCACAAAUGCAAAAUAAAUACAUAAUUACUAUCUAAAAUUUAAACUUUUUGUUUGUU